AGUUGAACCUUGGGCCUGGCUGGCCGGUCCGCCUCACCGCGUGUACUGGUCCGGCCGGGCCUUUCCUUCUGGAGAGCCGCAUGCCCUUCACUGGGUGUGUCGGGGAACCAGGACUUUUACUUUGAAAAAAUUAGAGUGUUCAAAGCAGGCCUUUGCUCGAAUACGUUAGCAUGGAAUAAUAGAAUAGGACGUGCGGUCCUAUUUUGUUGGUUUCUAGGACCGCCGUAAUGAUUAAUAGGGAUAGUCGGGGGCAUCAGUAUUCAAUUGUCAGAGGUGAAAUUCUUGGAUUUAUUGAAGACUAACUACUGCGAAAGCAUUUGCCAAGGAUGUUUUCAUUAAUCAGUGAACGAAAGUUAGGGGAUCGAAGACGAUCAGAUACCGUCGUAGUCUUAACCGUAAACUAUGCCGACUAGGGAUCGGGCGAUGUUAUUCUUUUGACUCGCUCGGCACCUUACGAGAAAUCAAAGUUUUUGGGUUCUGGGGGGAGUAUGGUCGCAAGGCUGAAACUUAAAGUUUUGAACCGGAAG
rnacentral:rRNA from 1 species